rnacentral:rRNA from 1 species
AUGUUUGAUACUGAGCGUGAGGUUUCAAACCGAAUAAAUGUUGCUUCGUCUUCACGCUCUGCUUCGUCUUCGAGCUCUUCAUUCCAAGCUAACGAAGACAUUGUUCAGUCGCUCAUACAAAUGUUGAACACACAUAACCCCAUUGUCGAGCUGUUUAGGACAGCAAGUCAAAGAUUAGCUGGGAGUGAUUGUGACCAUUUAACAAUCAGGAUAUAUGGCAAACCUGAUGCCCAUGGAGACAUCUAUAGUGCUCCAGUUGCGUCUGAGGUUGUUGGAUUAGUGGUUGGUGAUAUUGGGUCAUCUAAUGUAGGAUGA